UAAUACGUACCGUCCAAACGUUAUUCGGAAUCACUGGGCUUAAAGAGUUCGUAGGCGGCCCAGAAAGUUGGGUGUGAAAUCCCUCGGCUCAACCGAGGAAUUGCGCUCAAAACUACUGGGCUGGAGGGAGAUAGAGGUGAGCGGAACUGAUGGUGGAGCGGUGAAAUGCGUUGAUAUCAUCAGGAACACCGGAGGCGAAGGCGGCUCACUGGGUCUUUCCUGACGCUGAGGAACGAAAGCUAGGGGAGCGAACGGGAUUAGAUACCCCGGUAGUCCUAGCCAUAAACGAUGAGCACUAGACCGGAGAACCCUCCACAGUUUUUCGGUCGUAGCGAAAGUGUUAAGUGCUCCGCCUGGGGAGUAUGGUCGCAAGGCUG
rnacentral:rRNA from 1 species